rnacentral:lncRNA from 1 species
CAAAUGGACCUUUUGAUUAUGAUAGUGACUAAAGAAUAUUAAUUCCCAUUGCCACCAUUUAUCUAGUCUAGUUUCUCUAUAAAUUGAUCUAAGAUGUCUUGUGGCUAACCUUCGCCUAUGACUUUGAGUCACAUUGCCAUGGUUUUUAUUUUUCUUUUUAGUUGUUGUUAGUUAAAUAACGUAGAUGCAUAUUCUUCCAUUUUACUUGAAAUUAGAUUGGUUCAUGGAGUCCAAGAAGCUGCACAAGUAGUAGAGUCAAAAGCACAAGUGGCCAUGACUUGGGUAUGUCCAAUUUGCUCUUCUAGCAGUUUUUUUGUCUUAUUUUACUUGUUUUGUUGUUUACUAGUAAAUUUUGGACAAGAACCAUAAUAAAGAUGACCUUACUCGUAAAUUUCAAUAGCCAUAUACAUCAGGCCAAGUGAAAUGAAUUGAUGUUUGUCACUUGGUAUUUAUUUUAAGGCGUGAUCAAUUACUUUUUCUCUUUAUUUUUGGUUCCAGGACUUCUCGAUCUCACAGACUAAAAUAAAGCAUAUGGCAUACAGCAAUCCGGUAUCUGCUGACCAUGUUACAAGCUACAAAUCUGGACCAAAUGCUUGCUUGCCAACAUUAGAUCACCAUGGUUGUGGGAUGUCUUCAAUAUGGGUCAAAUAUUUUGUACUAUUUUAAUAAGUUAUUUUUGGAGUAGUAAUCGAUACUUUUGGUAUAUUGAUGUCGACUUUUUGACUAGGCUAAUGAUGUUCUUAGUAAUCAUUUAGAUUAACUCUACAUUUUGGUAUAUUGUAUUUGAUUACACUUAAUACUUUUAUUCAUUGAAAUUAUGGAA